ACGCACGCUGGCGGCGUGCUUAACACCUGCAAGUCGAACGGAAAGGCCCUGCUUGCAGGGUACUCGAGUGGCGAACGGGUGAGUAACACGUGGGUGAUCUGCCCUGCACUUCGGGAUAAGCCUGGGAAACUGGGUCUAAUACCGGAUAGGAGCCAUUUUUAGUGUGAUUGUUGGAAAGUUUUUUCGGUGUAGGAUGAGCUCGCGGCCUAUCAGCUUGUUGGUGGGGUAAUGGCCUACCAAGGCGGCGACGGGUAGCCGGCCUGAGAGGGUGGACGGCCACAUUGGGACUGAGAUACGGCCCAGACUCCUACGGGAGGCAGCAGUGGGGAAUAUUGCACAAUGGGCGCAAGCCUGAUGCAGCGACGCCGCGUGGGGGAUGACGGCCUUCGGGUUGUAAACUCCUUUCGCUAGGGACGAAGCUUUUGUGACGGUACCUAGAUAAGAAGCACCGGCUAACUACGUG
rnacentral:rRNA from 1 species